rnacentral:rRNA from 1 species
CUAGAAAAACUUAGCGGCGAACGGGUGAGUAACACGUAAAGAACCUGCCUCAUAGACGGGGACAACUAUUGGAAACGAUAGCUAGUACCGGAUAACAGCAUAAAUCGCAUGAUAUAUGUUUAAAAGUUGGUUUCGGCUAACACUAUGAGAUGGCUUUGCGGUGCAUUAGCUAGUUGGUGGGGUAAAGGCCUACCAAGGCGACGAUGCAUAGCCGACCUGAGAGGGUGAUCGGCCACACUGGGACUGAGACACGGCCCAGACUCCUACGGGAGGCAGCAGUAGGGAAUCUUCCGCA